rnacentral:lncRNA from 1 species
UCGCAAGAAAUUCUGCCGAAGGCACUCCGGCUUUGCAAAUUCAAAAGAAUGUAAAAAGAGACACGGGGAUGACCUUUGCAAAAUAAACUGUUGUCCUGGGAAAGACACCUACGGACGAGACGUUGGUGAGGCUGAAAUCUGGUGUCUAGACGGAGCAAACUGCGGUAAAAACAGGGAAUGCUACGGUGGUUACUGCAAAACCAAGCGAAGAGAGUAAAGCAGCAUCGAACGAAAAAUGAGGAACAGUAGCUGAACCAUGGCGUCCCACGGUGUACAUCGCAUUUGUUGAAUUUAAGAAAGAAACUUCCAAGUAGCAUUUUCAAAACAAUAAAAUGCGUCUC